ensembl:lncRNA
CCCCCUUUUAGUAUUGGUGCUAUAAUCAGGAUCUUUAGGGCUGCUGUCAAGUAAAACGACUCCCUGCAAUUAAAAAACAUUUCCCUCACUUUUGUCAAUGAUCAACUCCAUCCAUGCCUUUACUUUGGCAAACUCAACUUACUCAAAUACUGUUGUCAGUCAUUCAAAUAGGCCUGUUGGUGAAUCGGUCAGUCAAAUAGGCCUACUCAUGUGUUACUUUAAGUUGAUGUUCCCAAGUCCCCUUCUCUCCCCACGAAUAGAGCUCAACUUCUCACACCCCUUCCCCCUAAUUUACCCCAUGUGUGCGCUCAUCUCAUCUUUUUAAAUCUGGGCCUUCCUCAGUGAUAUUAAUGUAUGCAGAGCCAAAUGCUUCAGUCUGAUAGGGAGAACCCAUUAGGUAUGGAGCUCUCUGUCUCAUAGGGAGAACCCAUUAGGUAUGGAGCUCUCUGUCUCAUAGGGAGAACCCAGUAGGUAUGGAGCUCUCUGUCUCAUAGGGAGAACCCAUUAGGU